UACGGAGGGUGCGAGCGUUGUCCGGAAUCACUGGGCGUAAAGGGCGCGUAGGCGGCGCGACCAGGCGGCGGUGAAAGUCCGGGGCUCAACCCCGGAUCGGCCGUGGCGACUGUCGCGCUCGAGCACAGUAGAGGCGGGUGGAAUUCCGGGUGUAGCGGUGGAAUGCGCAGAUAUCAGGAGGAACACCGGUGGCGAAGGCGGGUCUCUGGGCAGUAACUGACGCUGAGGAGCGAAAGCGUGGGGAGCGAACAGG
rnacentral:rRNA from 1 species